AUUCUGCAUUGUAUUUUAUAGUGUUUGAUCCUCAUUGAGUUUAUUAUCAUCGAGAUUAUUAUUUUUUGAUUGAUGUUUUACUGUCUGCAUUUAAUUUAUUACUGGGGUUCGUUGCGGUGAUAUUCAUGUGAUUUGUCGUGUUUGAAUGAUAGUAAUAUAAUAACUUUCUCACCACCAUAUGAAUAUACACAUGUUAGUUCAGUUAAAUAAACUACGGUUUGCUACUUUCAUUUUCUGAUUUAUUUUGAGUGGAAUUGUGAAGAUGUGUUGACUUUAAUCUUGUUUGUUUGUGAGUAUUUGUUUGUUUGUUUAAUCCUUGUGUUUUGUUUGGUUUUUGGUGUUUUUGGCGAUUUUUCGUGUUACAAAUGAGACGCUUCGUUGUUCAUUUCGCAUACUACGAGGCAACCUGACCGACAGCAUAGCGGUGGAGGCCGAUGGUUGCGGUGACGGCGACGACGGUUUCGGGAUGAGAUUCGGUUUCAGAAUGGAAAGCACUAAUUGUGCCUUAAUUGAGGGCGUUACUUGUGCCUCCUAAUUGAGGGCGUUAAUUGUGCCUUUGAGGGCGUAAAUUAUGCCUCUUUAUUGAGGGCGUUUGCCUUAUUUGAAGGAUUCUUGGAAGAAGACCGGUUUUUCUUUUCGGACAUUAAAGUUUUAUUGUCUAAAUUUCCCCGGUCAUCUUGCAUGUCCGACGGUUAGAUAAUAAGCUUUCUUGAAUGAAAGAAUUAUCACGGUGAAUUGCCGAUUCUCGUUGA